rnacentral:rRNA from 1 species
UACGUAGGGUGCGAGCGUUAAUCGGAAUUACUGGGCGUAAAGCGUGCGCAGGCGGUUUUGUAAGCCAGAUGUGAAAUCCCCGGGCUCAACCUGGGAAUGGCAUUUGGGACUGCAAGGCUGGAGUUUGGCAGAGGAGACUGGAAUUCCUGGUGUAGCAGUGAAAUGCGUAGAUAUCAGGAGGAACACCGAUGGCGAAGGCAGGUCUCUGGGCUGAAACUGACGCUCAUGCACGAAAGCGUGGGGAGCGAACAGG